rnacentral:rRNA from 1 species
UACGGAGGGGGUUAGCGUUGUUCGGAAUUACUGGGCGUAAAGCGCACGUAGGCGGAUCAGAAAGUUGGGGGUGAAAUCCCAGGGCUCAACCCUGGAACUGCCUCCAAAACUCCUGGUCUUGAGUUCGAGAGAGGUGAGUGGAAUUCCGAGUGUAGAGGUGAAAUUCGUAGAUAUUCGGAGGAACACCAGUGGCGAAGGCGGCUCACUGGCUCGAUACUGACGCUGAGGUGCGAAAGUGUGGGGAGCAAACAGG